CAACUCUUAGCGGUGGGAUCAAUAGA
rnacentral:rRNA from 1 species